AUGAAUCUUCUUUGGCAAUUCGAUAGAAUAAUUCUAAUUGUGAAGUUCCUUAGGUCAAAUAUCCCCAAAGACCCCGGUAGCAUCAGUGCCACAAACCAGAGCUCCUUGUUUCCCUGUGUUAGAUCUAAUACAACACUAAAUGAAUUUCUUUCUAGUGUUACAGUUCCUGUCAACCUCUGGCCUCAAGGAAACUUGCCUAGAAGUAUGGAAUUCACAACCCUUCUCCUACAAGAUGUGCCCCAUUCUCCCUACCUACCAGGUGGAGAAAGGGGAAUGUUAGCUUUUGCACUAAGGACCUCUUUCUCAGAGCCAAGCUGCUCCACCUGCCCUUCAAAAUUCUGGAAUAUCCUGACAGAUCAAGCACACAGAAGAUUACAAGAUGUAUCAGUUGAAGACAUGACCACAAGGGCUAUGACUGAAAUCAAAUUGAAUGAUUCCCCUGAGACUGAAGAACAAGAGGGAAGUCUUCAAUCAUUUAGCAAAUGAUUGGUUAUGCCAAGAAGAAAGGAUGGGUCCUGGGCACCAGCAACUACUACAGCUUCAAGCAUCAGCAGCAAAAGCCAAAGGACACAGCCAUCCACUUGAUAGAGCUGCUCAGGCAGGUCGUUGAGUAUGUAAGGCAGCUGGAGAUGGCUGUAUGAGCCAAUCCAGCAAGGGAAGAAACAUUUAAAAGGGAGUAAUUAUUUCAUACAAUAAAUGAUAUGAGAUGGCCA
rnacentral:lncRNA from 1 species